rnacentral:lncRNA from 1 species
GGGCCACUUCUUGCGCGCUGCCAGAAGGAGCUAUUUUGAGCAGGUCUGUGGCGGAAGUGGGUGUUCCCGGGUCUCUGCUGCCCAGCUGUGCCCGCUGCCGUCUUGGGGUCCCGGGGUGCGCGGGUUGGGCUGGGUGAGCUCAGAGGCACCUUGUCGGCAGCCGAGCCUGAAGAGGCGACCUCGAAACGCCUCGUGAGACCUUUCGCGGGCACACGCCCUUCGCGUUCCUCCGCUUCCUCCCACGUUUCUUCAGCCCCUGGCGGGGCGCUGGGGUGCCCGGUAGUUAAGGGUGGGGUGGCAGCGAGCGUUUCUGUGCACCCGCAGCGUGCCACGCCCGUGCUAAGCACUUUGCCUAUAGAGCCAGUGGCUUAAUUCUGCAAUAGCACAGUGAAGAACUUCGCCUCAUUUUACAGACGUGGAAACAGGCUCAUCAAGUGCUCUGUAAUUGUAAAACCUGGGAUAACAAAGGAGCAAAACGCAAUUUAGAGGCAAGUGUGUGGGACUUGACUUUGGUUAGAAAUAGGCUUUGCAGGCCAGGCGCGGUGGCUCUUGCCUGUAAUCCUAGCACUUUGGGAGGCCGAGACGGGCGGAUUAUCUGAGCUCAGGAGUUCGAGACCAGCCUGGGCAACAUGGUGAAACCCUGUGUCUACUAAAAUACAAAAAAUUAGCCGGGCGUGGUGGCGUGCGCCUGUAGUCCCAGCUACUCGGGAGGCUGAGGCAGGAGAAUUGCUUGAACCUGGGAGGUGGAGGUUGAAGUGAGCAGAGAUCGUGCCACUGCACUCCAGCCUGGGCGACAGAGCGAGACUCUGUCUCCAAAAAAAAAAAAGAAAGAAAGAAAUAGGCUUUGCAAGUUAGUAGUUCUGUGACUGAAUCCCAGUCUGUAUAAGACCCUCAGGCAUCCCCCGGUCCAAACCAAAACCUGUCUGCGAAGGAUGAUUUCACAGGAGCAAACCAAGACUUUAUUUCCAGUUUUAUAACCUGCCUUGGGGUCUUCGGCUAGGAAGCUAAGAGACACAGAAAGCUGAGAUUGGGCAAAGACAGGAUCUACCAUCCACUCCGAGCUCUGGGAGCACCUGAAAUGCGAUUUGAUGUCACCACCACCAUCCCCAGUUCAACCACAGUUCAUGUGUGGAAUUUAACCUGCAAAGUUGGGUUUGCUGAGACCCAACGCCGGUUGGAUCAUGUGAAGAUCAGAUCCUUUCACUAUGUAUUUGCUUUAAUUUUUCCAACUAGUUCGGAUCUAACAUGAAGUACAGUAUUGAGGCUCACUCCAGAAGUGAAAAUAUACAAUCGGCAGGCAGAUUUUAGUUCUUUGCCUGCCCUUUUCAAAAAUCAAUGACUGGGCUGGGCGCGGUGGCUCACGCCUGUAAUCCCAACAUUUUGGGAGGCCAAGGCGGGCGGAUCACCUGAGGUCAGGAGUUUGAGACCAGCCUGACCGAUAUGGUGAAACCCGUCUCUACUAAAAAUAUAAAAAUUAGCCAGGCGUGGUGGCGUGUGCCUGUAUUCCCAGCUACUCGGGAGUCUGAGACAGGAAAAUUGCUUGAACUUGGGAGGGGGAGGCUUCAGUGAGCCGAGAUCUCACCACUGCACUCCAGCCUGGGCGACAGAGCGAGACUCCUUCUAAAAAAAAAAAAAAAAAAAAAAAAAAAAAUCAAUGACUGUGACUCUGUUUUCAUUUCCUCUUUGGCAACAUAGGGACAAUUUUUACUGCUGGGGCUGAAAUUACAAACAUAAGACACAGCCUCUCCUCUAGAGCAGCUGGGCAGCUAGACCUCCAUCUGCUUGCUUUUUUUUUUUUUUUUUAGACACGGAGUCUUGCUCUGUCGCCCAGGCUGGAGUGCAGUGGCGCCAUCUCGGCUCACUGUAAGCCCCGCCUCACGGGUUCACGCCGUUCUUCUGCCUCAGCCUCCCGAGUAGCUGGGACUACAGGCGCCCGCCACCACGCCCAGCUAAUUUUUUGUAUUUUUAGUAGAGACGGGGUUUCACCAUGUUAGCCAGGAUGGUCUUGAUCUCCUGACCUAGUGAUCCGCCCGCCUUGGACUCCCAAAGUGUUGGGAUUACAGGCGUGAGCCACCGCGCCCAGCCCAUCUGCUUUCUUAAAUUUCUAUUGGAACAGAGUCAUGCCUCUUCAUUAGGUAUUAUCUGAUGAUAAAAGGGCACAGUCGACUAGUUGUAGAGACUAUAUGGCUCACAAGUCCUAAAAUAUUUACUCUCUGGCCCUUUACAGAAUCUAUUUGCUGAUCUCCAGUCUAGAGUGUUACUGAUGGGUUUCUGACACAGAAAUAUCUGGCUGAGAUGGUCCAACAUACCGGGAAACUCAUUCUCUCCUAUGAGAAAGUCAUAUUCUCUGAUAGCAUCUUUGGUCACCUGAAACCUAGUGUCCAUUGAAGGCACAGCUCUGGGAACUGCAAAACUGUUCUGUGGAGUGUUAUGGAGAGUAAAGCCAGGCAGACCAGCUGCUUCUGAGGGCUGUGGAUAAAAUAGAGAAUGAUACACUUACAUCCUCUACCUUUUGUUUCCAGGCACAGAUCAUUUCAGGUGCCUUCUGUGCAGAAAUAGCUGAAUAAACUUGGAGCUUGGUCUCUUUGUUGUUGAAUUUACAAUGUUAUUUGAAUGUAAGACCUUGUAGAUAUGACAUUUGAAAGUUAGGGCUCUGGAAUGGCACUGCCUGGCUUCAGAUCCUUCAUUUUUUUGCUAAAUGACAACAAACAAGAGGCUUAGGCUCUGUGCCUCCGUUUCAUCAUAGUCAAUUCUGGUAUUUGCAGUAGUUAUGUUGAAUAAAGUCACCCAGUACACGGACUUAGCAAAUACUGCUCCUUGGAAACCACAGCUCCUAGGGAAGAUACAGGGUUAGGUUCCUGUGAACCUCUGAUCACAACAUUUUUAUCAACAGAUCAAUAUACAUAACUUUGUUUUUGUGUGUGUGUUUCUAUUAAAGAUGCUUUAUUUAGGCCAGACACAGUGGCUCAUGCCUAUAAUCCCAGCACUUCGGGAGGCCGAGGCAGAUGGAUCACCUGAGGUCAGGAGUUCAAGACCAGCCUGGCCAACAUGGUGGAACCCUAUCUCCACUAAAAUCACAAAAAUUAGCCAAGUGUGGUGGCCCAUGCCUAUAGUCCCAGCUACUGGGGAGGCUGAGGCAGGAGAAUCACUUGAACCCGGGAGGUGGAGGCUACGGUGAGCCAAGAUCACGCCAUUGUACUCCAGCCUGGGCAACAGAGCGAGACUUCAUCUCAAACAAAACAAAACAGAAACAAACAAAAAGAAGCCUUAUUUAAUGUCUAUUAUUGACUCAUUAAUUAACAUUGAAAAUGAGAUGGGAAUAAUAUAGGGUGGUCACAGGAGAAUUAAAUUCCAGGCAGCAGUUUUACAUAACUAGAGACUAUCGUCUUCUAAGACCCUGAAAAGCCAAGGUAUGAACCAAGCUGGCUAAGACCAACUGGACCCAACAUGGUGCUGGGCUUGACCCAGGCUUCCCCUAGGACCUCAUUAUGUGCUCAUUAACAUACUAAACACACAACCACCAGUACCAUGACAAUUUCAGGAACACUCAGAUUUGGCGCAUAAAUGGGUGACACCACCGCUCCAAGAAAUCUCUACCUUUUCCCAGGAAUUUUCAUGAAUAUUCCACCUCUUGGUUGAAGAAACCCAUAAAGGUAGAAACCCCGAACCAUUGCUCGACUUUCUCUUGAGUAGGCCUGCAUUCCUCUUUCUUGAGUAUGUAAUUUUCACCUGGUAAUAAGUCUUUGUACUUUCACUAUUUUCUGACUCAUCCUUGAAUUCCUUUUCGUAAUGACGUCAAGAGCCCGGGGUCAAGGUCCCACCUGCGUUUGGGCACCUCCCCAGCCCACUGGUAUCAAACCCACAGACAAUGGCAUGUAACUCAUGCCUGAAUGAAGUACAUCUAACAUGUAUUUUCUCCCUAAGACACACCUUUUGCACUGAGGAACACUAGAUAACACUUCAACCCUACGUGUGGGGGCCAUUUAAAAAUGCAAAACCGCCACCCAAAAAAAAGCAAAAAAUGACAAAAAUGUGGCGCUAAACAGACCAAGAAAAGGACAGUUGUUGGCAGUAGGUGAGCAGAAAUGAGGGCAGAGAGAGAGUGCUUGCUGGGUCUCAGCCAGGGACUCCAACACGCGGCGACUCGGAUUUUCCCCACUCCAGGCACAUGGCAUGUACAGGCUCAUGGCCUCAGAAACGCUGCAAGUAUUGAUUUGUGGGGGGAGGGGGGGAGGUUACACAUAAAUUUUUUACCUACUAAGUGAAUUUGCAAAUGUGGAAUCUAUGAAUCAUGAGAAUCAACUGUAUGCUAAAACAGAGGAGUAAUAGGACCUGCCUCAUCAGAUGGCUAUGGGAAUUCAAUGAUAUAUGAGUGCAUGUAAAUUGCUUAUAAUGGGGCAUUACACAGAGAGGACUGAGUAUUAGCCACUUUUUUUGUGUGUUUUUUUGUUUGUUUUUGUUUUGCUUUUGAGAUGGAGUCUUGUCCUGUUGCCCAGGCUGGUGUGCAGUGGCGCGAUCUUGGCUCACUGCAACCUCCACCCCCUGAGUUCAAGCGAUUCUCUUGCCUCAGCCUCCCUAGUAGCUGGGAUUACAGGCGUGUGCUACCACACCCAGCUAAUUUUUGUAUUUUUAGUAGAGACGGGGUUUCGCCAUGUUGGCCAAGCUGGUCUCAAACUCCUGACCUCAGGUGAUCUGCCUGCCUUGGCCUCCCAAAGUGCUGGGAUUACAGGCGUGAGCCACCACCCCUGGGCCCGUUGUUACUAUUAUUGAUUACAAAAGAGCAGGACUCUGGUAUUUGGAAGAGGAUUCUCUAGAGUUUGGAACAACUUGAAGUCCCUGAGUCCCAAACCAUUCCGAACCCCUCCACGGUGCCACCUUCGUCACACCAGGCAGAAGCCCUUCCCUUGUCACCGGAAACUCCCUCUGGAAGGAGCUGUUCUCUGUCAUUAAAGGGAGUUCCCUUUCAGGAGGAAGCCAAUACUCCCCUUCAUGCUCCACCCUUUAUUGUCAUUAUUUGAAAAUAGAAGGUUUAUUUUUAUGUUCUGAACACAAAACUAAGAAUAUUACAAUUAUGAGAAUUUUGAGAAUAAAAGUGAAUAAUUGAUGGGGAUAGGAGUAAAAUUAAAUAUGCAUUAUUGGUCUGAGCCUCCUGACAUGUCUCUUAUAAUGUUCAGAAGUAUUAAUUUGGUUUUCGGGUAUUCACCAUGGAUGGCCAGGGGAAAAUUCUUAAGGCUACUACGGACUUACUCUGAGUUUUUUUAUUUCAAUUUUUUUAAAGCAUAUUAAUUUCAAUAAAUUGUUACUUAAUUUAGUUCACAUGUAUUUGAUAUGGUUUAAAUAAUUUUUAUUGAGGAUUAGUAUACGUCCAGAAAAGUGCACAUAAACGUUUACAGCUUGAUGAAUUUUCACAAACUGAACCACCCUGUGGAAUGAACACUCAGUAACAGUGGCACCAGCGUCCUGGGGGCUCCCUUCAACCCCCCUUCCAGGCCCAAAAUGAAAAUGCCAAGUAUCUGUGAAGACUCAGAGCAACCUGAACUCCCAUAGAGUUGCUGGUGGGAAUGGAAAAUGGUACAACCACUUUGGAAAACAGUUUGGCAGUUAAACAUACACAUACGUGACCCAGCAGUCCCACUCGUAGGUAUUUACUCUAGGGAAAUGAAAACAUACAUCCACACAAAUAUCUGUAGGAAGUGUUUAUAGCAGCUGUAUUUGUAAUUGCCAAAACUGGUAAAGGAAAAGCUUGUUCUACUCACAACACGUCUGACAUCCAUGUGUAGGUUUUCUUUUCUUUUCUUUUUUUUUCAAGACAGGAUCUUUCUCUUAUCACCCAGGCUGGACUGUGGUGGCACAAUUAUGGCUCAUUGCAGCCUUGAUCUCCAAGGCUCACACCGUCCUCCAACCUCAGCCUCCCAAGUAGCUGGGACUAUGGGUGUGCACUAUCCUCAGAUAAUUUUUUUUUUUUAAUUUUUGUUAGAGACAGGGGUGUCACUACAUUGCCCAUGCUGGUCUCGAACUCCUGGCCUUAAGCAAUCUUCCCUCCUCGGCCUCCCAAAGUGCUAGGAUUACAGGUGUGGGCCACUGUGCCCAGCCCAACAUGUGGGUUUUCCACACCAAGCAAUUCUCUGCAGACGCCAACUGGGUAUCCUACAAUUUAAUUCAAUUUUGACACUAACUCUGUGGAGUUAGCACAGACCCCAUAGGUUAAGAGCUCAGUCCCAGAAGACUGCCCCUGCUUCAGGCAUCAACCCCAGGUAGUGGGUCCCCAGGUUACCACACUGGCUACAAAUCAGAGGGGCCCACGAGCUCCUCCUUAGUUUUGUCAUUUGCUAGAGCUCACAGAGCUCAGGGAAACACCUUACUUCCAGUUGCCGAUUUAUUAUAAAGGAUACAAAUGAACAGCAGAUGAAGAGAAGCAUAGGGCAAGGUCUGGAAGGGUCCCAAACCCAAGAGCUUUUGUUCCCGUGGAGCUGGGGGUGCACCACGCUCCUGGCACAUGUAUGUGUUCAUGAACCACAAAGUUCUCUGUACCCUGGCCUUUAUAAUUUUUUUUUUUUUUUUCGAGAUGGAGUUCUGCUGUUCUUGCCCAGGCUGGAGUGCAACAGCGUGAUCUCAGCUCACUGCAACCUCCACCUCCCGGGUUCAAGUGAUCCUGCUGCCUCAGCCUCCCGAGUAGCUGGGAUUAUAGGCAUAUGCCACCACACUUGGCUAAUUUUUGUAUUUUUAGUAGAGACGGGGUUUCUCCAUGUUGGUCAGGCUGGUCUCAAACUCCCCACCUCAGGUGAUUCACCCGCCUUGGCCUCCCAAAGUGCUGGGAUUACGGGCAUGAGCCACUUCGCCUGGCCCAGGCCUUUAGACUUUUAUGGAGGUUUUAUUAUAUCGGUGUGAUCGAUUAAGUAAUUGGCCAUUGGUCAUUAGCUCAAUCUCAGCCUCUCUUCCCUCCAAAGAAGUGGGAAGGUGGAGUGGGGCUGAAAGUUCCAAUCUUGUAAUCAUGCCUUGGUCUUUGUGGUGACCAGACCCCUCCUAAGCUAUAUAGGGGUCCCCAGCCAUGCCAGUUGUCUCAUUAGCAUAGAAAAAGACACCAUGAUCACUCCUGAGACUCCAAGAGCUUUAGAAGCUGUGUGCCAGGAACAGGGGCAGAGACCACUUAUAUAUUUCUUUUUAUGUCACAACUGGAAACACCCAAAUGCCAAUCAAUGGGUGAAUGAAUGGAUAUACAAAUUGUGGUACGCCUUUAAAAUGGACACUACCCAGCCAUAAAAAGUCACGAAUUACCGGCCAGGCACGGUGGCUCACGCCUGUAAUCCCAGCACUUUGGGAGGUCAAGGUGGGGGCAUCACGAGGUCAGGCGAUCGAGACCAUCCUGGCCAACAUGGUGAGACCCCAUCUCUACUAAAAAUACAAAAAUUAGCUGGGCCUGGUGGCAUGCACCUGUAGUCCCUGCUACUUCAGAGGCUGAGGUGGGAGAAUCGCUUGAACCCAGGAGGCAGAGGUUGCAGUGAGCCAAGAUCGCGCCACUGCAUUCCAUCCUGGUGACAGAGCGAGACUCUGUCUCAAAAAAGAAAGAAAAGAAAAGAAAUAAAGAGGGUCACUUUAUGAUAAAUGAUAAAAAAUUCAACUCACCAGGAAGACGUAACAAUUCUAAAUAUUCUAAAUCAGAAUGUACCGAUAACAAGACCUCAAAACUCGUUUUGUAUUCUUUUGGAACUUGAGAAAAUAAUUCUAGCAUUCAUCUGUAACACUAAAUGGUCAAAAAUAGCAAAGAAGUUAGCAUGCCUUUAUUUCUCAAAAUGGCUACAAAAUAUUUAUUACUUUUAUAAUAGAAAAAGAGUGUUUUUGUUUUGUUUUUUGUUUUUUAAGACAGAGUCUUGCUCUGUUGCCCAGGCUGGAGUCCAGUGGCACAAUCUCGGCUCACCACAACCUCCACCUCCCUGAUUGAAGCAAUUCUCCUGCCUCAGCCUCCCGAGUAGCUGGGACUACAGGCGUGUGCCACCAUGCCUGGCUAAUUUUUUGCAAUUUUAGUAGAGACAGGGUUUCAUCAUGUUAGCCAGGCUGGUCUCGAACUCCUGACCUCAUGAUCUGCCCGCCUUGGCCUCCCAAAGUGCUAGGAUUACAGGCGUGAGCCCCCGCGCCCUGCUGAAAAAGAGUGUUUUAAAAUAGAAAACUGUUUUUUAGGAGAAAUGCUCUUUAGCAACAACAACAACAAAAAAAAAACCCAACUUAAUCCCAAUACACAUUUUAAAGUAGUAUAUAGCAUGCAAUAGCUGAGGUAUAAACCUUCCUAUCCAUUCCUUAUUAAAUUAUUGCCGGAAGUUCAAGUCACUCCACUCAAAAGGACUUCACAUAAGUGGGAAAAUCGUUCUUUGAGAAGAAGGUAUAUGAUUUGAUAUUGUUUUGCCUAGAGAAGAAAAAGAAACAAACCCAUUAGAGUGUUGCAGAACCUGAAUGGUUUUUCAAGAAUUAUGUUGAUCAACUUUCUGUGUAGAGUAGCAAAUAACAAGUGUCACCGAUUUGAACAAUAGUGUAUUUGGGAAAUAGAGAAAGGGCUGCUUCCUGUCCUUUGAGAUCUUCACAGCAACCACAAACCCUAUCUUGUCAUCUGUGUUCCGGCAUGCCCAGGCACAUUUGACCAAUUCUAAACGCUAAACGUUACUCCAGCACCCAAGUGUAACCCGUCACGAGGUGAGUCACAAUGAAUCCUAACCAGGACCCCAGUGGGAAAUGUGCCUCCCCUUUAGAUUUCUGAUUUCACUUCAGUUUCCCGGUAGCACUUAUGGUGUCAUUGAUCACCCCUCCCCACCCCCCAUCUCUUUCACAAUUUUGUCUUCCGUGGGUCACGUAUGUUUUGGAGAUGUCUGACUUUCCCAAGAGCUGGUGUUGAAUUUCCACCCAGUGUUUCCAGGACGGCAGCCUGUGUGAAGUGCUAGGGAAAGCCUUUUCAUGCCUUGAAAAAUACACACAAGUAUUUCUCUUCCUGAGCUUCAAGGAGACUCUGCAUUCAAAAGACCACUCCCGGGCACUGCCUUCUACCAACUUCCCCAUCCAGCUCUGAUUGCAUCGGACCACUGUCUUCCCUCCAUGCCUCCAGCCCUGAGGUUGUCAACGGGGUGCUCCAGCCUCCAUGUGCACCCUGUGACUUCUUUCAUCCUAGUCCUUCUGACCCUCGUGGCUUCUCCUGCUCCAAGGCCAAGCUCGGGACCCUGUCAUCAUCCCCGGGGACAGGCCCCAUCUUAGAGAGGAUCCACCCAGCUCCCCGCUCCUGAGCCAUCUUCCAGCUAUCCCGCCUCGAGACUCCCACCGCACCUGCUCCUGGGCUGCAGCUGCACCCAACAAGUCAACAUGUGGAUUGCUUCUAGAAUUUGGAUAUUAUGAACACUGCUGUGCUGAACAUUCUUGUACACUUAUAUGGUUUGGCUGUGUCCCCACCCAAAUCUCAUCUUGAAUUGUAGCUCCCAUAAUUCCUAUGUGUCGUGGGAGGGACCCAAUGGGAGGUAAUUGAAUCAUAGGGGCAGGUCUUUCCCCUGCUGUCCUUAUGAUAGUGAAUAAGUCUCAUGAGAUCUGAUGGUUUUAUACAUGGGAGUUCCCCUGCACAAGCCCUCUUGUCUGCCGCCAUGUAAGAUGUGCCUUUGCUUCUCCUCUGCCUUCCACCAUGAUUGUGAGGACUCCCCAACCAUGUGGAACUGUGAGUCCAUUAAACCUCUUUCCUUUGUAAAUUACCCAGUCUUGGGUCUGUCUUUAUUAGCCGCAUGAGAACAUACCAAUUUAUACACAUCUUCUGGAACCCAUUUCUUUCUGGUAGGUACUAGGAGUGACACUGUCAGGCUGUAGGAUAUAAGAUGCUUCAACCUUAUAAGAUAAUGCCAACGGAGUGUAUGAAAGCCCCAUUAUGCUACAUCUACCCUAUUCUUGGUAUUGUCAGACUUUUAAAUGUUUGCUUCUCUGGUUGAUACGUAAUAGAAUUUUGUUGUGGUUUUAAUUUGCAUUUUUAAAAUUCCUAAUGAGGAUGGGCACCAUUUCUUGUAUCUGUUAACCAUUUGGAUUUCUCUCUUACAAAAUACCCG